AGGCUUCCCAGUUGUCACUGUAGCCUCAUCGUGUGUAGCUGUGUGUGUAGGAGUGUGUGUCGCUAUAGUAAUAAUACUGAUCUACAAGAGGACACCAGAUAAUAACUUGUCAUCCAGUCAAGUUAAAGUGUCUGAUGCAGACAGUGUAACGUACGCUGUGGUCGACCUCGAAAAGUCUAAGCAAAAAGAGUCCAACAGAAAGACAGAUAACAUCAGCACUGAAUACGCCGCCAUCAGAACCACACAACGAACACUGGAACAUGUCUAAAGCGUCAUCAUCUUCUGCGCACGUCACACAUCACACAUACUGAACACCAAAUACACAGAGAUUUGUUAUCAGUCUGUCCCACAUGUCACAUGAAGCUACCAGACACACUGCUCGCUGACAGGAAAUCCUACUGUUGACUGUUAAUGUUCAUCCCUUAAGUCUCCUUGACUGUCCUACUACUACCAGCUCUAAAAAUUAGUUAAAAAAUAUAAUAUUUUAGGGUGUUUUUAAUUCAUGAACAAACUUGUAACAAAAAGUAUUAUUUCCACCUUCUCUGUCAAUGUUAUUCUUUCAUUAAUUCAUUUUAUAUCAAUACUCACUUGUCCAGUGCCGGGUCAUGGUGGGCAAGAGACAUGGAUUGAGACAUUCUAAUAUUCUGGCUCACAGAUGUUACAAUGUAAAGAAAUACAAAAUUCUCAAGAAUACGUUGUCAUUCUGCACAGAAUUUGCGCACAUUCUAUUUGAGACAUUGUGUAAUGUCACUAUGCAGAAAUUUAUGAGGCCAUAGGAUUUCCGUUUGAUUGUGAGAUUAGACUUUAUUCAUGGUAAUGUAAGGGAAUUCAUGUUAUUAAAGCUGUUCAUAUGAUUCUGGUGCAUCCCCCAUGUGACCAAAGGAGCAUGAAGGAAGGAGAGACAAUGUGUGUAGACUUUAUUUAAACCUUCUACUGUAAGGAAAGAAACAAAAGAGUGUGUAUUAUCCCC